GUGAAUCAUCGAAUCUUUGAACGCACAUUGCGCUCUCUGGUAUUCCGGAGAGCAUGCCUGUUUGAGCGUCAUUAAACUCCUCAAUCUUAUACUUUUUCGAGUAUGAGACUGGUCCUGGGCAGCGUGCGGGAAGAUCGUACUUGUCCGAAAUGGAUUGCAAAGAAGACUUCGUAAUAAAAAAACUAUUUUGUUCUCGAAGGCUUUUGGCAAUAUCAAAGCAGCCCCUUAAGUCGGGGCAGCAAAUUCUAAUUUUGACCUCAAAUCAGGUAGGACUACGCGCUGAACUUAAGCAUAUCAAUAAGCGGAGG
rnacentral:rRNA from 1 species